UACGUAGGGGGCAAGCGUUUGUCCGGAUUUAUUGGGCGUAAAGAGCGUGUAGGCGGCUAGGUAGGUGGGUUGUGAAAACUGGAGGCUCAACCUUCAGACGUCGACCCAAACCCCCUGGCUAGAGUCCGGAAGAGGAGAGUGGAAUUCCUGGUGUAGCGGUGAAAUGCGCAGAUAUCAGGAGGAACACCUGUGGCGAAAGCGGCGCACUGGACCAUAACUGACGCUGGAUGCGCGAAAGCUAGGGGAGCAAACAGG
rnacentral:rRNA from 1 species